rnacentral:tRNA from 9 species
AGAACCGUAGCUCAGUUGGUUAGAGCGCCGCCUUGACAUGGCGGAGGUCGGCGGUUCGAAUCCGCCCGGUUCUACCA